ACAGCACGUAGCUCCUCCUUUGCCUCCCUCUCCCCGCAGUGUGCUGCUGUUUUGGAAGGGAGGAAGGGAAGUUGGAAAAGGAGAGGGGGGACUAGUUGCAACAUGGAGGUGCUACUUAUGUGUUAUCUGUUAACCAUUAAACCAAUGUCAUUAGAGGAGUUUAAACAGCUAACAUUGUAUUCAGUGCCCAGAUCCCAUUGUUUAUAAACCAUGAUGCAUCAGUCCUCCUCAGCCACUGCUUUCCAGAUGUCAUCAUCCUAUUGUUCAUGACGUGAAGAUGCAUCUGACUGUAAACAGGGGCUGAGAUUUUAAUUAUUUUUUCCUCCAUGAAAGAUUUCUAAAUAAGCAUCAACUUUGGAGAGCCAAUGAAAACAUGAUUGUACAGGCUUUUACCACAUGUCCUAUUCUCCAUUGCAAGAAUGGAUUGCCCAGCUCUGAAACCCCCGCCUCUCCAGGCCUUCGAGUCCUGUGCGAUGCCUCUGAGUGGAGUACCCAGAAUGUGGGGGGAACAAUGGAGAUACAUUGAUUUGCACCAGCUUUCUAUCAUUUACUUCAUUUUGCUUUUUACAAAUAUUAUCUCUUUGAAAUGUA